GUGGGGAAUAUUGGGCAAUGGGCGCAAGCCUGACCCAGCAACGCCGCGUGAAGGAAGAAGGCUUUCGGGUUGUAAACUUCUUUUACCAGGGACGAAAAAAAUGACGGUACCUGGAGAAUAAGCCACGGCUAACUACGUGCCAGCAGCCGCGGUAAUACGUAGGUGGCAAGCGUUGUCCGGAUUUACUGGGUGUAAAGGGCGCGUAGGCGGGAGAGCAAGUCAGGAGUGAAAUCUAUGGGCUUAACCCAUAAAUUGCUUUUGAAACUGUUUUUCUUGAGUGAUGGAGAGGCAAGCGGAAUUCCUAGUGUAGCGGUGAAAUGCGUAGAUAUUAGGAGGAACACCAGUGGCGAAGGCGGCUUGCUGGACAUUAACUGACGCUGAUGCGCGAAAGCGUGGGGAGCAAACAGGAUUAGAUACCCGUGUAGUCC
rnacentral:rRNA from 1 species